rnacentral:rRNA from 1 species
AAUAGAUACCCGGGUAGUCCACGCCGUAAACGAUGAGUGCUAAGUGUUAGAGGGUUUCCGCCCUUUAGUGCUGAAGUUAAUGCAUUAAGCACUCCGCCUGGGGAGUACGGCCGCAAGGCUGAAACUCAAAGGAAUUGACGGGGGCCCGCACAAGCGGUGGAGCAUGUGGUUUAAUUCGAAGCAACGCGAAGAACCUUACCAGGUCUUGACAUCCUCUGACAACCCUAGAGAUAGGGCUUCUCCUUCGGGAGCAGAGUGACAGGUGGUGCAUGGUUGUCGUCAGCUCGUGUCGUGAGAUGUUGGGUUAAGUCCCGCAACGAGCGCAACCCUUGAUCUUAGUUGCCAUCAUUAAGUUGGGCACUCUAAGGUGACUGCCGGUGACAAACCGGAGGAAGGUGGGGAUGACGUCAAAUCAUCAUGCCCCUUAUGACCUGGGCUACACACGUGCUACAAUGGACGGUACAAAGAGCUGCAAGACCGCGAGGUGGAGCUAAUCUCAUAAAACCGUUCUCAGUUCGGA